rnacentral:rRNA from 1 species
UACGUAGGGUGCAAGCGUUAUCCGGAAUUAUUGGGCGUAAAGAGCUCGUAGGCGGUUUGUCGCGUCUGCUGUGAAAACUGGAGGCUCAACCUCCAGCCUGCAGUGGGUACGGGCAGACUAGAGUGCGGUAGGGGAGAUUGGGAUUCCUGGUGUAGCGGUGGAAUGCGCAGAUAUCAGGAAGAACACCCGUGGCUAAGGCGGCUCUCUAGUACGGUACUGACGCUGAGACGCGAAAGCGUGGGGAGCGAACAGG